UCUCAUUGUAAUAUAACAAAAGUUUAUCAAAAUUUCUUCUCAAAAUGUCCAUCCGAGGUGGUGGUUAUAGUCAUGACGAAGAUGUGUUGCUAUGCCAACAUUAUUUAGAUAUCUCGCAAGAUCCAAUUACCGGAAGGCAGCAAUCCAGGGAUCAAUUUUGGAAUCGAAUCACUGAUGCAUACAACCAAACUAAAAAUCCUGAUUGGGAGAUACGUAGUGCAAGAUCUGAACAAAAUCGGAUCCAAGCCAUGAAGAAAGCUGUUCGAAAGUUACUUGCUUGUAUCAAGAAAGUAGAAACUUUAAAACCAGUGGAGCUUCAGAGAUAGAUAUUUUAAAUCAAGCAAAUGAGAUACAAACGAAGGAAGAUGCAAGUUUUAAAAAAGGUUUUAAAUUUGAUCAUGUUUGGAAUUUGUUAUAAGAUUUUGAAAAAUUUAAUGAUCAUAAUGAAGCUAGAAACCCAUAUAAAAUACCUCAAAAAAAUAAUUCCACUCAUGUAUCAUUAUCGUCGGAUAACACUGCUUUUGAAUACCCUGGAAAUUCAUCAUUUUUUGUUAACUUAGACGAUGAUAAGAGUAGAUUAAAUUUAAAUUAUAAUGUUGGUGGUCUUUAUAUGAGCGCCUCAUGGGGGUGAAAAAAGCGAAGCAGCAGAAGAAAAAUAAAGAUAAAAAAAAAAUGCU